GACAGAGGGUGCAAACGUUGUUCGGAAUUACUGGGCGUAAAGCGCGUGUAGGCGGCCCUGCAAGUCGGGUGUGAAAUCCCAUGGCUCAACUAUGGAAGUGCAUUCGAAACUGCAGGGCUAGAGUCCUGGAGAGGAAGGUGGAAUGCUUGGUGUAGAGGUGAAAUUCGUAGAUAUCAAGCGGAACACCGGUGGCGAAGGCGGCCUUCUGGACAGUGACUGACGCUGAGACGCGAAAGCGUGGGGGAGCAAACAGGGAUUAAGAAACCCCUGGUAACGUCCAGAACCAACG
rnacentral:rRNA from 1 species